UGCCCCAUAGUAAGGGGCGAGAGAAGCGGCAACAGCUCAAAUUUGAAAUCUGGCUCUUUCAGAGUCCGAGUUGUAAUUUGCAGAGGGCGCUUUGGCUUUGGCAGCGGUCCAAGUUCCUUGGAACAGGACGUCACAGAGGGUGAGAAUCCCGUACGUGGUCGCUAGCUAUUGCCGUGUAAAGCCCCUUCGACGAGUCGAGUUGUUUGGGAAUGCAGCUCUAAAUGGGAGGUAAAUUUCUUCUAAAGCUAAAUAUUGGCCAGAGACCGAUAGCGCACAAGUAGAGUGAUCGAAAGAUGAAAAGCACUUUGGAAAGAGAGUCAAACAGCACGUGAAAUUGUUGAAAGGGAAGCGCUUGCAGCCAGACUUGCUUGCAGUUGCUCAUCCGGGCUUUUGCCCGGUGCACUCUUCUGCAGGCAGGCCAGCAUCAGUUUGGGCGGUGGGAUAAAGGUCUCUGUCAUGUACCUCUCUUCGGGGAGGCCUUAUAGGGGAGGCGACAUACCACCAGCCUAGACUGAGGUCCGCGCAUCUGCUAGGAUGCUGGCGUAAUGGCUGUAAGCGGCCCGUCUUGAAACACGGACCAAGGAGUCUAACAUCUAUGCGAGUGUUUGGGUGUCAAGCCCGAGCGCGUAAUGAAAGUGAACGGAGGUGGGAACCCGCAAGGGUGCACCAUCGACCGAUCCUGAAGUUUACGGAAGGAUUUGGGUAAGAAGGAUGGGCUGUUGGGACCCGAAAGAUGGGGAACUAUGCUUGGAGGAGGGGAAGGCAGAGGGAGCUCUGUGGGGGGGUUUCAACCAUUUCUGGACGUGGGGAAUCGAAUCGGCAAAGUUUGAGCGAUAGGGGCGGAAGUACUAAAUGCGAACUAUCUUAGUAGCUGGG
rnacentral:rRNA from 1 species